AGAGUUUGAUCCUGGCUCAGGACGAACGCUGGCGGCGUGCCUAACACAUGCAAGUCGAACGGAGAAUUUCAAGAAGUUUACUUUGAGAGAUUUUUAGUGGCGGACGGGUGAGUAACGCGUGGGUAACCUACCCAUAAAGCCGGGACAACCCUUGGAAACGAGGGCUAAUACCGGAUAAUCUUAAGUCUUGGCAUCAAGAGUUAAGGAAAGGUGGCCUCUGAAGAUGCUACCGAUUAUGGAUGGACCCGCGUCUGAUUAGCUAGUUGGUGGGGUAAAGGCCUACCAAGGCGACGAUCAGUAGCCGGCCUGAGAGGGUGAACGGCCACACUGGGACUGAGACACGGCCCAGACUCCUACGGGAGGCAGCAGUGGGGAAUCUUCCGCAAUGGACGAAAGUCUGACGGAGCAACGCCGCGUGUAUGAUGAAGGUCUUCGGAUUGUAAAGUACUGUCUUUGGGGAAGAAUGACUGGCUUGAAAAUAUUGAGUCAGUAUGACGGUACCCAAGGAGGAAGCCCCGGCUAACUACGUGCCAGCCGCCGCGGUAAUAC
rnacentral:rRNA from 1 species